rnacentral:misc_RNA from 1 species
GAUGAAGAACGUAGUGAAAUGCGAUACUUGGUGUGAAUUGCAGAAUCCCGUGAACCAUCGAGUCUUUGAACGCAAGUUGCGCCCGAAGCCAUAUGGUUGAGGGCACGUCUGCCUGGGCGUCACAUAUCGUUGCCCGAUGCCUAUUGCACUGUGAUAGGAAAUUCUAGGGCGAAAGAUGGCUUCCCGUGAGCGUUGUUGCCGCGCGGUUGGUUGAAAAUUGAGUCCUUGGUAGGGUGUGCCAUGAUAGAUGGUGGUCGAGUUUGCACGAGACCGAUCAUGUGUGCGCUCCCCAAAAUAUGGACUCUUUGACCCCACACGCGUCUUUUGACGCUCAUGACGAGACCUCAGGUCAGGCGGGGCUACCCGCUGAGUUUAAGCAUAUCAAUAAGCGGAGGA